GAACGCACAUUGCGCCCGCUAGUAUUCUGGCGGGCAUGCCUGUUCGAGCGUCAUUUCAACCAUCAAGCCCCCGGCUUGCGUUGGAGCCCUGCGGCUGUCCGCAGCCCCCUAAAAACAGUGGCGGGCUCGCUAUAUACCGAGUGCAGUAGUUUACUCUUCGCUCAGGACAUGUAGUGGGUUCUUGCCGUAAAACCCCCCAUUUUUUAAGGUUGACCUCGGAUCAGGUAGGAAUAUCCGCUGAACUUAAG
rnacentral:misc_RNA from 1 species